UACGUAGGGCGCAAGCGUUGUCCGGAAUUAUUGGGCGUAAAGAGCUCGUAGGCGGCUUGUCACGUCGAUUGUGAAAGCCCGAGGCUUAACCUCGGGUCUGCAGUCGAUACGGGCUAGCUAGAGUGUGGUAGGGGAGAUCGGAAUUCCUGGUGUAGCGGCGAAAUGCGCAGAUAUCAGGAGGAACACCGGUGGCGAAGGCGGAUCUCUGGGCCAUUACUGACGCUGAGGAGCGAAAGCGUGGGGAGCGAACAGG
rnacentral:rRNA from 1 species